AGCGAACGUUAGCGGCGGGCUUAACACAUGCAAGUCGAGCGAGAAAGUGGCUUCGGCCAUCAGUAAAGCGGCGGACGGGUGAGUAACACGUAGGUAAUCUUCCCUUGAGCGGGGGACAACGAGCCGAAAGGCUCGCUAAUACCGCAUAAGUUCCCAGGGUCCUCGGGCCUUGGGGGGAAAGCUAGGUAGCAAUAUCCGGCACUCGAGGAGGAGCCUGCGUCGCAUCAGCUAGUUGGUGGGGUAAUGGCCUACCAAGGCGAAGACGCGUAGCUGGUCUGAGAGGAUGAUCAGCCACACUGAAACUGAGACACGGUUCAGACUCCUACGGGAGGCAGCAGUGGGGAAUAUUGGACAAUGGGCGCAAGCCUGAUCCAGCCACGCCGCGUGAGUGAUGAAGGCCUUC
rnacentral:rRNA from 1 species